GAGUUUGAUCAUGGCUCAGAUUGAACGCUGGCGGCAUGCCUUACACAUGCAAGUCGAACGGCAGCACGGGAGCUUGCUCCUGGUGGCGAGUGGCGAACGGGUGAGUAAUGCAUCGGAACGUAUCCUGGAGUGGGGGAUAACGUAGCGAAAGUUACGCUAAUACCGCAUAUUCUGUGAGCAGGAAAGCGGGGGACCUUCGGGCCUCGCGCUCUUGGAGCGGCCGAUGUCGGAUUAGCUAGUUGGUGAGGUAAAGGCUCACCAAGGCGACGAUCCGUAGCAGGUCUGAGAGGAUGAUCUGCCACACUGGAACUGAGACACGGUCCAGACUCCUACGGGAGGCAGCAGUGGGAAUUUUGGACAAUGGGGGCAACCCUGAUCCAGCCAUGCCGCGUGAGUGAAGAAGGCCUCGGUUGGUAAGACUCUUUCGUCGUAGGGAGGAAAGUUAGUACGACCGGA
rnacentral:rRNA from 1 species